rnacentral:rRNA from 1 species
UACGGAGGGGGCUAGCGUUGUUCGGAAUUACUGGGCGUAAAGCGCACGUAGGCGGACUGUUAAGUCGGGGGUGAAAUCCCGGGGCUCAACCCCGGAAUGGCCUUCGAUACUGGCGGUCUUGAGGUCUGGAGAGGUGAGUGGAAUUCCGAGUGUAGCGGUGAAAUUCGUAGAUAUUCGGAGGAACACCAGUGGCGAAGGCGGCUCACUGGCUCGAUACUGACGCUGAGGUGCGAAAGCGUGGGGAGCAAACAGG